GAGGCCGAGAAUGGUGUAGGUCACGUGGAACAUCAGCGACGCGCCGAUGCCGAAGGAGGUGAUGAC
rnacentral:sRNA from 1 species